UACGGAGGGUGCGAGCGUUAAUCGGAAUUACUGGGCGUAAAGCGCACGCAGGCGGUUUGUUAAGCUAGAUGUGAAAGCCCCGGGCUCAACCUGGGAUGGUCAUUUAGAACUGGCAGACUAGAGUCUUGGAGAGGGGAGUGGAAUUCCAGGUGNAGCGGUGAAAUGCGUAGAUAUCUGGAGGAACAUCAGUGGCGAAGGCGACUCCCUGGCCAAAGACUGACGCUCAUGUGCGAAAGUGUGGGUAGCGAACAGG
rnacentral:rRNA from 1 species